CUUUACUUCAUCAGUUUUGUGCUGAUAGAAUCCCUUCUUUUUUCCUUUGUUCACAAGAUUAAUUCAUUUACAAUAACUUUGCUUUUCAAACAGAGUGCCAGAUUUAUCCGCUACUUUUUUGGCAUCAUAACAUUGAAUCCUUAAAUUUCUCAGCUCGUCAUCAAUCCAUGGGGCACCGUUUGAACUCACAGGGCAUUUUCUUAAAGGGGCGUGCUUAUCAGCUCUACUCAUAAAUCAUUUCAUAAAAAAUUUUGUGACAUUUCAGGAUCAUCCUUACUACACACUUCUAACCAUGGCACAUUCUUAAUGUCAUCCACAAGUGAGUCCUGAUUGAACCCUCCGUGGGACCCGCGGUAGAUUACGUUAGAGUCAGCCUUUGGUAUUGUAGUUUUCCUAGUGAGUGAGUCCUGAUUGAACCCUCCGUGGGACCUGUGGUGGAUUACCUUAGAGUCAGCCUUUGGUAUUGUAGUUUUCCUAGUGAGUGAGUCCUGAUUGAACCCUCUAUAGGACCUGCGGUGGAUUACCUUAGGGCCAGCCUUUUGGUAUUGUAGUUAACCUAGUGAGUUCAACUAAGUUAUGAUCACUGUAACCUAGUGCCACUGAUACAGCUUUAGAACAACGUUCAGCCAUCUUAGUAAAAAUGUGAUGGAUGCAAGUUGAUGAUGUAAUACCGGACCAAUCAGUGAACGUUCUGGUUGGUGAUGUCAUAACUUGGGUCAGGUUACAUGGCGACAGAAAUACGUUUUUUUCUCAUUGGACAAUCCAUUUUCAUCCCCCCCCCCCAAAAAAAAAAUAUAUUUCCCUAUUUUCAUCAGAUACCUUGUCCAACACUUAGCAAAUUACAUCAAGAUAUUUAACACCAGCAUUAGGUGGCUUAUAGCAGAAACCAACUAGUAUAGGUAAUAUUACCGUGUUAGCAGAAACUGCAUUCAACAUCCUGUAUCCAUAGAGCCUCUAAUCCAUUCAACAUCCUGUAUCCAUAGAGCCUCUAAUCCAUUCAACAUCCUGUAUCCAUAGAGCCUCUAAUCCAUUCAACAUCCUGUAUCCAUAGAGCCUCUAAUCCAUUCAACAUCCUGUAUCCAUAGAGCCUCUAAUCCAUUCAACAUCCUGUAUCCAUAGAGCCUCUAAUCCAUUCAACAUUUAAUCCUGACGUUGUUUUACUGGAAUAUGAUUCUGGAUGUAAACUGCAACUCCACCUCCCAGAUCUAUUUCUGUCCCCUCCUGAACAAAUUAUAUCCAUGUAUAGAGAUCUCUGCAUCCUCAAAAUAAGAGUCCAAGUGAGUCUCUGACAUUACCAAUACAUGAAUAUUGUUUAACUGCACUAGACAGCAUAUUUUCAUGAAUCGUGUUUUCCUUUAAACUGCAUAUAUUCAGAGUGAGCAAUUAACAGACCUUUCUUUGGUAGAUUUACAGUAUAUUUUCCAAACAUGAAUCAGCAGUUGGAAUCUGAGAGAGAGAUAGUCAGUCAGUCAGUCAGUGUGUGUGUGUGUGUGUGUGUGUGUGUGUGUGUGUGUGUGUGUGUGUGUGUGUGUGUGUGUGUGUGUGUGUGUGUGUGUGUGUGUGUGUGUGUGUGUGUGUGUGUGGUGUGGGGGGGCUGGAAUUGCUUGUGUUUGAGAGUGAGAGAGACAGAGAGUCAGUCAGUCGUAACUUGUGGAGGAGAAUGUGGGCUUUUGGCACCAGAGGGUAUUUGACAGGAGUUGACUGAUUUGGAAGCAAAUACAAGCAGAGCUGUAGGUUCUGGGCAGAGCUCUCCACUCCUGAAUACAAGCAGAGCUGUAGGUUCUGGGCAGAGCUCUCCACUCCUGAAUACAAGCAGAGCUGUAGGUUCUGGGCAGAGCUGUAGGUUCUGGGCAGAGCUGUAGGUUCUGGGCUUUCCACUCCUGAAUACAAGCAGAGCUGUAGGUUCUGGGCAGAGCUGUAGGUUCUGGGCAGAGCUGUAGGUUCUGGGCAGAGCUGUAGGUUCUGGGCUUUCCACUCCUGAAUACAAGCAGAGCUGUAGGUUCUGGGCAGAGCUGUAGGUUCUGGGCAGAGCUCUCCACUCCUGAAUACAAGCAGAGCUGUAGGUUCUGGGCAGAGCUGUAGGUUCUGGGCUUUCCACUCCUAAGUAACAACUCCUUUCUGAGCAGCCUGCAGUAACACAGUAACAUUGCUACUUAGUGUUUUAACACAGCUGAUCUGUUACUUAGAAAUUGACGGGAACUAAACAGAGUUAGGCUUUUCAACAUUCCUUCCUGAAGUCGUUGCCUACCCCCCCCC
rnacentral:lncRNA from 1 species